CAGGGCUUUAACUCCUGGGCCUUUGGGAGCCAUCCAACCUGCCAGCUAUAGAGCUUGUGGCAUGAUCAACAUGUCACAGAGGAAUGAUUGUGAUGAGACAACACAGCCUACAAAGCCACACUUCCCUAUUUAGAGGUCCAUCUUAUGUCUUCUGCUUUACUACUUGCUGAUCGCUCCCUAUCUGAAAGAACAGGUUCCCUCAUCCUGGAUGUAGGCCGUGAGCAGCUGGCAAAGCUACUUGUCCAUGAGCCAUCAGCGAGGAGUUCUUCCCAUCUUUAUGUUACAGAAGCACAGAUGCCUGAGUGGACCUCAGCUAUUGUGACCAUGAGGAAGACAACCAGGACAGAGAAAGAAUAAAAUGCAAAAGUUGGUGGCUCGGGCAGAGAAUGAGCACCAGUUCCUCCAGGCAUCGAGGAGAGCUUUGGCUAACUAGUUACCACGCAAGGAGUACCCUCCCGCCUUGCACAAGCUUUUGGCUUCUUAUCACCGAGCUUCUCAUCCAAAUACAAACUUACCUGAGCUUAUUACCCACCUGCAAUUUCUUCUAGGCAAGGAAAAGUUUAUAGUGGUUAAAUCUCUAGAAUUAAUUGUGGCAAAAAAGGUCUUUCAUGUUUUAGCAUUUCUUAAGGCAAGAAAAUCAGAAUACAUAUUGGCAUUCUAAGAAAUAUAGCUUGCAGGGAGAUGGCAUAGAUUAUUUCUUCAAAAACAUAGGAAUUGAAAUGUUCCUUUCUUACCUUAGCUGUUAGUAUCUGAAUUCUGAUAAAAUGUCUAGUUACUUGGUGUACUGAGUUAAAACAAAUCACUACCAUUUGCACUUUUUAUGCACAUAAUAUUAGGACUGUUUGCCAGUGUGCCAUCUGUAAGGAGAUUGUAUUUUAUGCAAAUGAUUUCUAAUUAAUAACAAGAAUUCCUGCCUAAAUAAUCACAAAUACAUAAAGUUUAUAACAAAUGGACAGUAAAGAAAGCUGUCCAUAGUCUUAAACUUUAUAAAACACACACAGUCUAGGUUAUAAUUAUUUCAUUUAUGUCUGUAAAAAGUAACUCUACCACAUUAUAUUCUAGGAUGAUUUCAUGGUCUGCUUCAACACCAUCUUGUAGAAAGAAGUUCGUGAGAUUCAAAGGAACACAGGGGGCCAGGGUUGUAGCUCAGUGGCACAGUGCCUGCCUGGCAAACACAAGGUCCUGAGUUUGAUUCUAGGUACCA